GACGAACGCUGGCGGCGUGCUUAACACAUGCAAGUCGAACGGAAAGGCCCUGCUUUUGUGGGGUGCUCGAGUGGCGAACGGGUGAGUAACACGUGAGUAACCUGCCCUUGACUUUGGGAUAACUUCAGGAAACUGGGGCUAAUACCGGAUAGGAGCUCCUGCUGCAUGGUGGGGGUUGGAAAGUUUCGGCGGUUGGGGAUGGACUCUCGGCUUAUCAGCUUGUUGGUGGGGUAGUGGCUUACCAAGGCUUUGACGGGUAGCCGGCCUGAGAGGGUGACCGGCCACAUUGGGCCUGAGAUACGGCCCAGACUCCUACGGGAGGCAGCAGUGGGGAAUAUUGCACAAUGGGCGGAAGCCUGAUGCAGCAACGCCGCGUGCGGGAUGACGGCCUUCGGGUUGUAAACCGCUUUCGCCUGUGACGAAGCGUGAGUGACGGUAAUGGGUAAAGAAGCACCGGCUAACUACGUG
rnacentral:rRNA from 1 species